rnacentral:rRNA from 1 species
ACUUACGUUGAAAAGUGAGCGGAUGAACUGAGGGUAGCGGAGAAAUUCCAAUCGAACCUGGAGAUAGCUGGUUCUCUCCGAAAUAGCUUUAGGGCUAGCCUCAAGUGAUGAUUAUUGGAGGUAGAGCACUGUUUGGACGAGGGGCCCCUCUCGGGUUACCGAAUUCAGACAAACUCCGAAUGCCAAUUAAUUUAACUUGGGAGUCAGAACAUGGGUGAUAAGGUCCGUGUUCGAAAGGGAAACAGCCCAGACCACCAGCUAAGGUCCCAAAAUAUAUGUUAAGUGGAAAAGGAUGUGGCGUUGCCCAGACAACUAGGAUGUUGGCUUAGAAGCAGCCAUCAUUUAAAGAGUGCGUAAUAGCUCACUAGUCGAGUGACACUGCGCCGAAAAUGUACCGGGGCUAAACAUAUUACCGAAGCUGUGGAUUGUCCUUUGGACAAUG